CUUGUACACACCCGCCCGCCACACCAUGGGAGCGGGUUCUGCCAGAAGUAGUUAGCCUAACCGCAAGGAGGGCGAUUACCACGGCAGGGUUCGUGACUGGGGUG
rnacentral:rRNA from 1 species